UCAAUUUACAUUUUUUUAUUUUGCAUAUUUAACAAACUUGCACAUUCCAGAUUUUCUUUUUUUUUUUACAAAAACACUUGCUUUGUUAGAAUUUACAAGUGGCACAAGCAGGGCUACAAAUCCCAAAGUGUAGGUCCCUCAGUUGUUUCAUGACACACCUGCCCAUUGGCGCUGCAGCAACAGAUGACCAGGAACCCAAUGCUGACAUCACGCCGCACUUCCUUCUUCACACCGGGGGGUGGGGUGAGGGGGGAAUCUAAGCAAGUGAAUGGUGUUGGCGCAAUUGCUUUUAUUAUUUAGCACUUCAACUUGCAUACAUGUUGGUUGAAAAAAGGCAAGGCUUGUGGAAUGUACAGCGCAUUAGGAGGACCAGUCUCCAUUACGACACAGUCUUUUCCUGUUCGAUGGCUGCAAAAGAAGAGAAAUUUAGAUGAUUUAUCCACAAGUUUACUGACAAAAAUGGGAUUUAAAAGUAGAAUCAGGUACAUGACAACGUACUCUCUUUAGUUGGCAAUGUGUUCUUCUCCUGGGUCUCCGUCUUCUUCAGCUUGGUCUUGUCAAAUGUUGUGACUUCAGCGACGUUAGGUUUGUCAGACAUGUCUGCAGAGGCUCUGAAGAGAAAAGAAGGUGGACACUUAAUUAUGCUCCCCUUCAAUCAGAAUACACCUGAGCGCCUGUGGACAGGUGAUUAGAAGAAGUCAGAAUAAACAGACUGCAGCCUCGAGGACUAGUCACAUGACUAACAUAGAAACUGGGAAAAAAAAAAAAAAAGGGAGGCUGCUAAAAAUAUGCCAGUUCAUGUAGUCUGCAGCCGGAUGUAGCUUUUUAAUGCCUGACUUGAGAACAGCUUUGUAUCAGUUGGAGAGCGCAUGCAGCUGAAGGACCACCGCCCUUUUAAGCAAUCAAGAUGACUGCCUCCAACUGUCUGAAGAUCCACAUGUACAAAAACCCGUAUCAAGAGAAAAGCAGAACUUUGGGAGACUGCUAGAAGUUAUCAGCGUUUUGUGCCAAAAAAUGAGAGCCUCAUAUAAAAACGGAAGAAGCGUGCAGCUGGGUUACAAAAGGGAACCUUGAGUACAAAUGUCCCAGUAUGAGGGGUUACGGUUAAAAACCGUAAAGCUUUUUAACGGGCCAAUUCUGCAGAACUUCCUAAUUACAAUUCCGUUAGUUUUAUUCACAUCCUGUGCAGCAGAAACGGUUUGAUGUCGAAAGAGGACCUGAGUAGACCGUGCGAUAGAAAACUAAAAAAAAAUGUAGACAGAACCGUCCGACAGUAAAGGCUGGUAAAAGCAGACUGAAUUUAACUUGUAUUUUUUCAAAAACAUUGAGACACUCACCGGAGUUUGAGUCAGAGAAGUAACAGGAUAAACGUCUCGCGGGCGCAGGGGGCAGAGU